UACGAAGGGGGCUAGCGUUGUUCGGAAUUACUGGGCGUAAAGCGCACGUAGGCGGGUCGUUAAGUCAGGGGUGAAAUCCCGGAGCUCAACUCCGGAACUGCCUUUGAUACUGGCGAUCUAGAGAUCGAGAGAGGUGAGUGGAAUUCCGAGUGUAGAGGUGAAAUUCGUAGAUAUUCGGAAGAACACCAGUGGCGAAGGCGGCUCACUGGCUCGAUACUGACGCUGAGGUGCGAAAGCGUGGGGAGCAAACAGG
rnacentral:rRNA from 1 species